rnacentral:lncRNA from 1 species
GCAGAGAUUGUGUAAGAAGAAAACAGAAGAAAGCCUAGGAGAGAACCCUGAGGAAAACCAAAGAUUUAAGGGAUGAACAAAAGAGAAAUCUGCACAGUAACUCAUAAAGAGUGGUCAAAGAGGUAAAGAGAAAACAAGAGCAUGUGGUGUCAUACAAGCACAUUGUCUCUAUGGUGGUGCCUUGGGUCUGCAUUUCAGCCAGCACAAAAGAGAAAGAAGAAGGGAUAGACACAUCACUUUAUUUUGAUGACAAGACCCAGGAGUUGUUCUCGUCACUGUCACUCACAUCCCAUUGGCCAAAACUUAGUCACAUGGUCAUAUGCUGCUGCAAUGUGACAGGAAAUGUAGUCUUUUUUCAGAAUGGCUGUUACCCUAGGUAAAAUGUGGAGAUAUUCUUUCUGUGAGAGAAAAAGAGAGUACAGCUACCGGGGGAUAACUAGUGGCUACUGUCAUAUCACUUGAUGUCUUUCAAAUCUCUGAUGCUGAUCAAUCUCUGCAGUUCCCCCAGUGUGCAGUUGUACUUUUGGUAAGAAGAGGAAGCUCAAGAUUUGACCUUUUCUCCCAUAAUGACCCUCAUUUUGGGGGUCAGAAAGGAAGCAUGGACAUUCACUCAUCUCUAUAUGAUGGAAAUGUGGAAACAAUCACAGGAUGCUUUUACAGACCUAUAAGUGCCAUUGUGACAGAAUUAGGCCCGCAAAUCCAAUUGUCACCUAAACUGCAUGUAUCCCAGAUUCUGCCAGAUACAUCACAGUGACAUUCUGCAUCGUGUUCAUUUAUAUUCAGGAGCCAAUACUCCCUGAAAAAUCUGGCUAUUUCCCAUCUCCCACUACACAGUUACCAUGGUAAAUGACCAAAGAUACUUCUGGAGAAGGCUGGGAGAAAGAUUUACAGGAAGUACUUCUGAUGAUAUCACAAGGUCCUUCUUCAGGUUACCUGGCUUCCUCUAUAUUCAAUGUUUGGAAAUAAACUCAAGUUUCAGAAUUG